GAGGAAAGCCAAAACUGAGAAGGCGUUUGGGUUUCAGUCAUAUAUCACAAUGCUGAUUUUUAUUUAGUCAUUUAUUUCAAAAAUUAGUAUUUUAUAGACCUCUGAGAUUUUUUUUAACUGGGGGCUAUGAAAAGCUCUGAAUUGGAUAAGAGUUCUCUCAUCUGUGGGGAGACUGAAAUGAGGUGAAACAUCCUUGAAGGUUCUCAGCCUGACAAAGCUUUGAGGAAUUGAACUUGCAGAAGUCUAUGCUCUAUACUGGUUCCUCACGUACACGAAUUGCCUUAAGUUGCCACAAAAAAUCUGGUUUAACUCAAAAUUAUGUAAUGAAACACCAGUGCCAAGUUUCUGUUUUGUUACUGCUUAAUUUGCUGUAGUAUAUGUUACCAUAGAACAUACUAGUAAAAAAACCUAGAGGUGAAUUGCAUGGUUUAAAGAGUUGCCUUAUAUUCUGUUGCUGUUACAUCUUAUGAUGAACCUUUUUCAUCUUACAAUGAAAAACAAGACUAUAAAAAUUACAGAAGUCAGUCUCUGUGAAAUUAUUCAUUUAUUUGUAAAACUGCUGUAUUGUGGUGCAGCUUCAGUGUUCAUGACUGCUUAUCCCUCAUUAGAUUUUGCAAUGUAAAGGUAGAUGUGAUGCACAGGGUGAAACAACAUUCUAUCUGUAAAAGGCUGAGCAAAAGCUAAAUAGCCUUAAAUUACACUCAUGGCAGAAUAAAUGUUUUGAGUUCUUUUGCAAUCACAGUUUUGUUAAGCAGCAGAAUUACAUUUGUUGAACUUGUAAACUUUCCAGUGCAGACUUGCUUUCGUUGACAGUAUGUUGGUUGUUUUUUUUUGCAGCAUUUUCAAGAUAAGAACUAUUUUGAUGAUCAGAAGAACCUGGCACUUACUUAUAAGAAAAUGAGGAUCAAAUGUUAACUUAAGCAUUACUUAUUGUUCUAUUGUGGUAGGCACUUGCAGGGGUUUUGCAGAGGAUAAAAUGAAGAGGAUAAAAUGCUGAUGAAACAUAAUGUUAACAAGAAUGAUGUAAAUACAUAAGCAGAUCAUUGUCUGGACAGUUGUAUGGACUUAAGAGUUUCAAGCAAUUAUCUGUGCUUAUUGACUGGUCCAUAAACAUCUGCCUCUACUGCUUGCUGGGCUUUACCAGCCUGACGCUAAGCUGCUGAGAAACCGAGCAACAGGAGACUGCUGAAAGCUGCCAAAGUGGGACUCAGGAUGGACUGACCAAGGAUGGCUUCACUGAACCCUGACUUAGGGCUGAGGUCACCCUGGGAGGUUGCAAGGAAUUGCAUUCAGUCUUCAUAUUUAAACUGAAAUCAUAGAUUUUCUCAAGAGGUUGGUGUCGCAGUUUGGACAAGAUACUUAAGUGGAAAAGAAUGGCCAAUUCAGUUUUCCAGGCAUCUUCUGGCUGACCGUGUAGCGUGGGAUGGACAGCAAAACAGUAUGUGCUUCUCCUGACUUGCAACAAGUAAAACAAAUGGAAGACUGUAGAAGAGCAAGAGAAGGAUGCAGAAAUUCUGGACAAUGCUCACAGCUGUCCUGCAGGCUUCCUGCACAGUCUGAGAGAGAAUCUGUCAAUCUUGUGAAGGCUCUCUGUGCAGUUUGGUGGAACAGACGAGGACAAAGGAGAGAUGGUGACUACUCAACACAAGCAGUCAACCUCUGCAGGAAGUGCUGCUGGAGCUGGUCACAUGAAAGAUAAAAUAUUAAGACCUGGCAG